rnacentral:tRNA from 1 species
AGCAGCGUGGCCUAGUAGAUAAAGCACGGGCCUGUGAGUCAGAAGGUCAUGGGUUCUAAUUCCAUCGCUGCCA